rfam:Staphylococcus saprophyticus subsp. saprophyticus ATCC 15305 DNA, complete genome.
CCAGUAACAUCAUUAGGAUGACCAGAUUUAUCAAUUGAAGCACCCUCUACCAUUAAGAAGAAUCCUUUAUCAUUUUGUUUCAAUUUAUUAACAGCAGUAUCUGU